rnacentral:rRNA from 1 species
GACGUAGGGCGCGAGCGUUGUCCGGAAUUAUUGGGCGUAAAGCGCGCGCAGGCGGUCCUUUAAGUCUGAUGUGAAAGCCCACGGCUCAACCGUGGAGGGUCAUUGGAAACUGGGGGACUUGAGUACAGAAGAGAAGAGUGGAAUUCCACGUGUAGCGGCGAAAUGCGUAGAGAUGUGGAGGAACACCAGUGGCGAAGGCGACUCUUUGGUCUGUAACUGACGCUGAGGCGCGAAAGCGUGGGGAGCAAACAGG